rnacentral:rRNA from 1 species
AUGACAACAAGGCGAAUGGCCUCCGCAGCAGAGGCGCCGCCGGAGGACACCAUGCCCUCCUCGUCCCCUGGUCCCCGCGGGCAGGCGGGCUAUCCCGCCGCCUUCUUCUCGGUCGACCUCGCCGCCGCCGCGCGCCGCCUACUCGCGUUCCUUCGCUCCGAGUCCGCCCGAGGAAACGCGGGGCCGCGGUCCGUGCGGAGGUACGAGGAGAUGUGGCUGCCGCUCGCCGCGGAUGCGGCGGGUGGAGGGGGAGAGGAGGCGGCGAUGCUGGUGCCCCCGCCCGACGUGCACCUCGUCUGGCUCUGCCACUGCUUCCACCACGAGAGCUAUGUUGCGUACUGUGCAUCAAGGUUUGGGCGCCUCAUCGAUCGACCAUCAAUACUUGAUGCUGAGAAUGAGGAGCAUGCCGCUGACUGUUGUCGGGACAUCUGGGCCGCGCGCUACCCAUUGGAGCCGUUUGACCUUGACAGCAGUGAAUUUGAUGGAAAUAAUUCAAAUGGCAUUGAGAAUGACAGUGCUAAUAGUGAAAUUUUCAUGAUGGUUCAAACAUACGCCGGCCUAGCAGACCACUUUGCCUCGCCCUUUGUCUCAGAAGGUGUCUACCAUGUCGCUGCGAGACGGCGUUACACGUGUUUCCUUGACCUCAUCAGAAAGGGUGUGUGCACAACCAGAGAAGACACUCGACUCGUGCCUAGCCUGGACAUAUUACUGAUGUGGCUUGCUCAUCAGAGUUUUCCGGCAAGCUAUGCAACAGACAUGACACUGAUGUCUAUCAAGGACAGCGUUAUGAAAAUGGUGGUCAGUUAUGGGGAGGUGGCCAGUGAGGAGACGGUGGAGAGGACAAGGAUCUUGUGGGAGGAGGCAUAUGAUGAGCCAUACGAUCUGUCUGGUUCAGAGGUUGAUGCGGCAGCAGUUGGCACAGCAAGGGAGGCGUUCCACUGGCAGGCUGCAGCAUCAGAAGAGGACACCAACCGGCUGUACAAGGGGUUGCAACCUAGAUUUCUUAUGGAGGUAUGUGUGUUCCUGAAAGGAGAAUUUGACAGCGAGCACAUUAGCAAGGAAUUUCUGCGUUUGCGAGCACAGAGGUGUUACAGAUCAUUAAAGCUCGAUAAGUCAGUGUCCAAUUUAUCCUGCAAAAACUGGCAGAAAAUGUGGCACAUGUAUUGUGAAUUUGCAACCCGAGGUCUCACCAUUGAGGUAAGGCGCAGCAUGGGUGGGUGCUUCAGGAACAGCAAGAUCCUCAAGAAUAUAUCAUUCUCAUGGAAUGAUAUGCUGCAUGAGAAAUCACUUAUGCUUACAGAGGAGCUCGAUGCCAGGAUUAUGGUGAUGGCAUCGAUUACCCCUCCAAUUCAAGCACCUUACUUAUUGAAGUGCGUGCCUGACAGAGUCACUGAUGAUGGCGGGGCAAUGAUUUCUGAUGUCAUAUUGCGCAUGAGAAGUUACCGUCCACAGGAAGGACGGUGGCUGACCCGUACAGUACUUGAUUAUGGUGGGAAAGAAUGUUUCGUCGUUAGGAUGAGAAUAGGCAGAGGGAUUUGGCGGAGAGGACCUGAAACUCCCAUGGCAGUGAAAUGGGAAGAUAGGAUCAUUGAGGUCCGAGAAGGCUCAUGGUCCUACAUUGCAAGUGCAACAUCCGUUGGUUAUGCUCCGGAAAAGGUGGUUGGCACAGCAACGCCAACGAAAUAUCAACAGGAGAAUAAGGUUGUUUGGCGUUUUUCAACUGGAGAUGUACUGACAGUGUGGUUGGGAGAUGACCUCAACUUUCAGCUACAUAAUGAGACUUCAGAAGAAGAGCAGGCAAGGCUGCUUGUAGGGAGGAGACUGAGUUACAGCGUAAAGAAGGACAGCACAUCAAAUAACCACAGCGAGGAAGAGCAGUACCUCACCCUAGUCCGAACAUCACCAUAUUAUCCUGAUGGCAGGGCAACCGCGCUCCUAAACUGGAAAUUGCUCGCAAUGGAGUUCUUACCCAAAGAGGAUGCAGUCUUUGUGCUCCUCUUAUGCAUGGCAAUCGCACGGACAAUGACGGAGAUCAGAAGGGAAGACGUGGCUGGGCUUCUGGUGCGACGAAGAAUACGCGAACCGCAGGUAGGGCAGAGAGACUGGGGUUCCGUGAUGCUGCCGGACUCGCCUUCCCUUGACCCUCAUUUGCAGCCGUGGUACCGGAAUGCAGCGCGUGUUUUGAGCUCUGCAGAGAUGGUGCUGCCUAACAGAGCGAUGCCCGUUGGGAACUCGCCUACCGAUGGCAAGGAUGAGCUGUACAGGCAAGCUCUUAUACCUUGA